GGCUGAAAGCAAUGAUGUUGCCAUUCAUCCUUUCACGUAUUCAUUAUGGUCUACAGCUGAGAAGGGCUAUUUGGGGUUUGCUUUGCCUGAUGGUAGCAGAAGAAAACCAAGAGGCCUCUCUACGAAAGCUUGCAGUAAGGAGAAAGUUCUGGAGACUGGGAAGAGCAACACAAAGAUAUUCAUUUGCUUGGUGAGAGCUGCUCUCUGCUUCCAAGGUAGCACCUUGUUGCUGCAUUCUCCAGUGGGAAGGAACGCUGGGUCCUCACAUGACAGAAGGUGGAAAGGGGUUGUAAAACAGAACCACGGCCAGGUGCGGUGGGUCACGCCUGUAGUCUCAGAACUUUGGGAGGCCGAGGCAGAUGGAUCACGAGGUCAAGAGAUCAAGACCAUCCUAGCCAACAUGGUGAAACCCCAUCUCUACUAAAAAAACAAAAAUGAGCUGGGUGUGGUGGCACAUGCUUGUAGUUGCAGCUACUAAGGAGGCUGAGGCAGGAGAAUCACUUGAACCUGGGAGGCAGAGGUUGCAGUGAGCCAAGAUCACGCCACUACACUCCAGCCUGGGCAACAGAGCGAGACUCUGUCAAAAAAAAACCAAAAAACAAAACAAAAAAAAAACAAGAAAAC
rnacentral:lncRNA from 1 species